rnacentral:rRNA from 1 species
UACAGAGGUGGCAAGCGUUGUUCGGAAUUACUGGUCGUAAAGGGCGCGUAGGCGGCCUUCUAAGUCAGACGUGAAAUCCCCCGGCUUAACCUGGGAACUGCGUCUGAUACUGGGAGGCUUGAGUAUGGGAGAGGGAUGUAGAAUUCCAGGUGUAGCGGUGAAAUGCGUAGAUAUCUGGAGGAAUACCGGUGGCGAAGGCGGCAUCCUGGACCAUUACUGACGCUGAGGCGCGAAAGCUAGGGGAGCAAACGGG